rnacentral:rRNA from 1 species
AGUGAACGCUGGCGGUAGGCCUAACACAUGCAAGUCGAACGGCAGCACAGUAAGAGCUUGCUCUUACGGGUGGCGAGUGGCGGACGGGUGAGGAAUACAUCGGAAUCUACUUUUUCGUGGGGGAUAACGUAGGGAAACUUACGCAAAUACCGCAUACGACCCACGGGUGAAAGCAGGGGAUCUUCGGACCUUGCGCGAUUGAAUGAGCCGAUGUCGGAUUAGCUAGUUGGCGGGGUAAAGGCCCACCAAGGCGACGAUCCGUAGCUGGUCUGAGAGGAUGAUCAGCCACACUGGAACUGAGACACGGUCCAGACUCCUACGGGAGGCAGCAGUGGGGAAUAUUGGACAAUGGGCGCAAGCCUGAUCCAGCCAUACCGCGUGGGUGAAGAAGGCCUUCGGGUUGUAAAGCCCUUUUGUUGGGAAAGAAAAGCAGCAGGUUAAUACCCCGCUGUUCUGACGGUACCCAAAGAAUAAGCACCGGCUAACUUCGUG